UACAGAGGUGGCGAGCGUUGUUCGGAUUUACUGGGCGUAAAGCGUGCGUAGGCGGUCCUGCGUGUCGGACGUGAAAUCCCGGGGCUCACCCCCGGAAGUGCGUACGAAACUGCUGGACUUGGGUCCGGGAUGGGAUGUCGGAAUGCAGGGUGUAGCGGUGAAAUGCGUUGAUAUCCUGCAGAACACCGGUGGCGAAGGCGGACAUCUGGAACGGUACCGACGCUGAGGCACGAAAGCGUGGGGAGCAAACAGG
rnacentral:rRNA from 1 species